UACGGAGGGCGCAAGCGUUGUUCGGAAUCACUGGGCGUAAAGCGCGUGUAGGCGGCUUUGCAAGUCGGGUGUGAAAUCCCGAGGCUCAACCUCGGAACUGCACUCGAUACUGCUUGGCUCGAGUCCCGGAGAGGGUGGCGGAAUUCCCGGUGUAGGGUUGAAAUCCGUAGAUAUCGGGAGGAACCCCAGUGGCGAAGGCGGCCACCUGGACGGUGACUGACGCUGAGACGAGACAGCGUUGGGAGGUAACAGG
rnacentral:rRNA from 1 species